rnacentral:tRNA from 8 species
GGUCCCUUGAUCUAGUGGUUAGGAUAUCAGCUUUACGUGCUGAGGGUCGCCGGUUCGAUCCCGGCAGGGACCA